AAAUCUUUAUGAUACAUCUUGAGGAUUGUUAUUUGGUUAAUAUUUCUUAUGCAUACAUCAUGAACCAAAUUGCAAGUCAAACAGUUGAUCUUAAGAGCCUCUAACUUAAUGAAAAAGGGGGAGAAUAACGUGUUGAAUUUUUGUUUUAGUAUCUCUUAGAAAAUCUAUUUUGAAAUUUACUAAUGAGUCCAAAUUGGCUUGCUCUUUAGAACUUAAAUUGUGUGCCAAUUCCUAUUUUUAUGUAUCAAAUUGUGCUUAUUUUCUAAAGGAAUAAAAGAAAGUCUUUAAGAAAGCUCUAAGAUAUAUCAAAAAUUGCAUGAAUCCAUAUUUUGGUAUUUGUGCCCCAAUGCUCUUAUUAUCAUUAAAGAACUUUGAAGUCAUUAAAAAUUAAUGAUCCAACGUGAUGAUAUGUUUUUCAAGUAUAUGAGUUUUGAUCUUAUACUCUGAAAAUUAAUUAAAUUGCUCUCAUGUUGAUAAAAUACUUAAUAUUUUGGGCAAAAGUUCUUAAAUGAACAAG
rnacentral:lncRNA from 1 species